rnacentral:rRNA from 1 species
AGCCAUGCCGCGUGCAGGAUGACGGCCCUAUGGGUUGUAAACUGCUUUUAUACAGGAAGAAACACCCCGACGUGUCGGGACUUGACGGUACUGUAAGAAUAAGGAUCGGCUAACUCCGUGCCAGCAGCCGCGGUAAUAGAAUA